GCCACCCUAGCUCAAUCGGCAGAGCAGCUCAUUCGUAAUGAGCAGGUUGCGAGUUCGAUUCUCGCGGGUGGCU
rnacentral:tRNA from 1 species